rnacentral:misc_RNA from 1 species
GAUCAUUGCAUCAUCGAUUCACGAUCGUCCAGGGCCGCUCCCUCGCGCAGCCGGGGGAGAGGGGUUGCGGGGGGCGAAGCGGGGUUCGGGGGAGCGGAGGGGUUUUGCCCCUCCUCUUCGCCGCUCCGCGUCGCCUCUCCGCCUCUCUCUCUCCCUCUCUCUGCGCUCGGGUCCGCCCGCUCGCGCCCGGCCCUCGCUCGGCCUCGGGAAGCGCGUGCGGGCGGCGUCGGCCGCAUCCGACCCGUCCCGAAUUCGGCGAGAAAACCCCCUUUUCUUUUCGACCCAACGAAACGAAACUCGAAAACCGACCGUGCGCGGUGGGGCGAGCGCGUCUCGAGAGGGACCGGUCGCCUCCGCGCCUCAUCAAACCUAGAACAACUCUCAACGACGGAUGUCUAGGCUCCCGCAUCGAUGAAGAACGCAGCGAACCGCGAUACGUAGUGUGAAUUGCAGAGCCCGCGAAUCAUCGAAUCUUUGAACGCACAUUGCGCCCCGGACCUCGGUCUUGGGCAUGUCUGCCUCAGUGUCCCGCACAUCUGCACCCUCCUCUCCCCCUCCCCGGCUCUCCUUCGCGAGGGGCGGGGGCGGGAGCGCGCGAGGGCGCGAUCUGGCCGUCUCGACCCGCGAGGGUCGCGUCGGCCGAAGCGGAGCGCGAUCCGGGCCGCGACCCCUUCGCGGCCGCUCUCGGAGCUUUGACGGUGGUCCUCGCGAUCUUCGAUCUCAGCAGCUUCGAGCGGCGGUCCCGCCUGUGGGCGUCUGCGGCUCCGGGUUGCCCAAUGCCAGGAACCUGU